UAUAACCGCAGCUUCACGUCGUCUCAGAGCCCCGCCCUCUAUCUGACUGUGGGAGACUUGGUGAGAAAUCUGAUCAUCAGGGUGGUUCUGGUCCACUUCAUCCUGAUCACGGGGAUCAUUUUCCUCUACUUCUACUGUCGGGCCAGUAGGGGGCGCUUCACACUGAAGAUACGGAAGACAGGAUGAGAUACACGACCACAGACACAGUCUACGACCACAGUCUACGUCCACAAAACACCAUCCUUCUGACUUAACCUACUGAUGAUGUGUGAUAA